rnacentral:rRNA from 1 species
GGGUUGUAAACUUCUUUUGUACUAGGGUAAACUUAACCUUGCGAGGUUAACUGAAAGUAUAGUACGAAUAAGCAUCGGCUAACUCCGUGC